GAACGGUCUAAUACUGCCCCUGAUAUUAAUUAAAGGGCUGCAGUAUAUUGACUGUACAAAGGUAGCAUAAUCAUUAGUCUUUUAAUUGAAGACUUGUAUGAAAGAUUUGAUGAAAUAUUAACUGUCUCUUAAUUAAAAUUAAAAUUUAAUUUUUUAGUAAAAAAGCUAAAAUAUAUUUAAAAGACGAGAAGACCCUAUAGAGUUUUAUUAUUAAUUUAUUUUUAAUAUUAAAUAAAUUUUUUUUUUAUAAAUAUAAAUUAAUAAUUUUAUUGGGGUGAUAAAAAAAUUAAAUAAACUUUUUUAAAUAACUAAAACAUUAAUGUAUGAAUUUUUGAUCCAUAAUUUAUGAUUAAUAGAAAAAAUUACCUUAGGGAUAACAGCGUAAUUUUUUUUUUUAGUUCAAAUAAAAAAAAAAGUUUGCGACCUCGAUGUUGGAUUAAAAUAAAAUUUAAAUGUAAAAAUUUAAAAUUUUGAUCUGUUCGAUCAUUAAAAUCUUACAUGAUCUGAGUUCAAACGGGG
rnacentral:rRNA from 1 species